AAAAUAAUUUAUUUAAAGUCAGAUGUUUGUAAUGAAAUUGCUCUCUCCUAGAAACUUCAAAUCUUAAAAUUUAGUAAGAAUACCCUGGUUCACUUAUAUGAUUUAGGGCACUGUAGAACAUUUGCAAAACGAGUCUACAACAACCUGAUUUGUUUCAAUAAAACAACGUAUUCUCUUGAGAAUCUAUAGGCUUUGUGAGACCAGCCACCACCAGCUUCACCCAGAUGAGAAGCUGUCUCAGUCUCUUCUUUCACAGAGAGAACUGACACGGUGGUGAGAUGGGGUGCAGAAGAAGUCAGGCCAGUUAUGCUGCUUACCACAACCCCCUUCUUGUCCUACAGCAGAGAAUGUCUCUUUGUGACCCAUCUAACCCUUUCCCAUUAAGAUGUCCUCCUUCAGCCAGGAUGCAGUUGAAGAGCACGGGCUUUGCAUGCUGGACCCAACUUUUCAUCAUCGAGCAACACAAUGUCACAGCAGUUUUUUUGACACAUUGCAUCAAGGUUUUCAGAGGCAACGUUCUUGGCAAAAGGCUGGUUCUUUGAGUCAGCCUAAACUGGUUGUUACUCCAGUUACUAGCCCAAUAAUCAUUCAUCUCUCCAAAUGGAAGGCAGGAAGUUCCUAGUUCUUCUCAUCCUGCUAUUUUCAGGAUGUGUUUACCAGCUCACAUCAAACCUCACACAAAGUCUUCUACCUUGCUGAUAAGCUAUAUCCUACAAGUUUCAAAAUAGAGUAUAGGCUGCUUUUGUGGUGAGGGAUGGAGAGCAAGAUCAGGCUCAUAAUGAAAGCCAGCAUGCCUUUCAUUAGACACUGCUUCUCUCCUAAUCCAAACCAGCUAAGUCAAGGAAACACAGCUAAUAAUGCAACGGUAAGUACCAUGCCAACACUGUUAAAGCAAAAUCAAUACAAUUAUUUUUAAUCUGCCCUUCUAGAGAUUUUCUUUGGAAGAAAAGCCUCUGUGCUUCAAUGCUGUAUGUAUUCUAGCAGCAACAAAUUGUUUCUGUUCUGAUAAGGGAUGUGUAAAAUCCACAGCUGAUUACCAAAAACAAACACGUGCUUAGCAGUUUUCAGAAGUCUGUGUUAGCUUUGGGCAAGUCGGGCUAGGGUUCCAAUGGAAAUUCACACUGCACUGGAGCGAGAAUCACAUUUCUUAUUCAGAUGUGGAGAGUAGAGAGGAGAGCUUGUGCAACUCCAGCAGGCCACAGGUGGCAGAUCAGAGCACAUCCCUCACAUUAAGGAAAUUCUGCCUUAUGCAGUAUCCGCAAAGUGUAUGGUAUAUAUUUAAAGACCGCUCCACAAGCUGAAGCGUAAUGACUAAUUAAAAUUUCAUUACUCAAACAGUGGAAACUGGCCCAGGAAGAAGAUGGUGAUGCCAUUGCUUCAAUCCAUUCCACUUAGAAAUGUUUCCCAGUGUUAAGAUACAUACUCCAAAAAAAAACCCAAGCAAUUAACUGGACUUGAAAGCCCCAAUACCUCAUGAAAAAAUUUUAACUAAUAGGAAAACACAUCAUGUGUAUGCAAGAACAGCAUUAGAUUCCUUACUGAAAUGCUCUAGCUGUUGAACAGAAAGACAUAUGUCAGUGCUGUGACUUCUUUUUUGGCCCAGUGGGCAGCAUUAGUGGAGAACAUUAGUUUUGUGAUGUAUGUGUAUCAAAACAAAGAUAUGCAACUGCAGUGAUGAGGCUUGACAGAUAAGCUUAUUAAUUAUUUUCCUUUGAUGCAGUUUUGAAGAACUACACUCUGCACAGUUUACAGGAACUUGGCUGCUCGUUUCUAGCGGGUGCGAUCCUUUUUAAUCAUUUCCAACAUGGAGAAGAAGCCAGGAAUACAGGCAGCCCCAGACUGCAUUCUUCCUAGGAGGAAAGCAGGAUUUUGGAAGCACCUCCACAGUCCUACUUCAGCAAAGGCUUAAAAGAUGGAUAACCCAGGAUGAGCAGAAUUGGGAGCAGCCAAAUGCGGCUCCAGAACAAUUCAGCUGCGACUCCAAGCCCUGGGCUAAAAGCCCCGUGACAGGGCAGCCCCAGCACUUGGUCUCCCCACCAGGGGCUCCAGGAGGGCUGUGAUGAGGAGGUGGGGAUCAUGCCCCCCAGCCCAGCCUGUCCCACUCCACAAUACUGCGCCCUGGGGAGCAGGCACCGCUUGCUGACUGUGAGCUCCUCUGGCAGCAUCUGCUUUUAGGUAUCUUGAAGGCACGGCUUGUAAGAGACUUUUUUUUUUUUUUUAAUUGGGGUUUGUGCCUGUCAAGUUAGGAGCUCGGCCAUCCUGUGAGGCCUGCAGAACAAGUCUGUUGGUCUGGCUGCUUCGGAAGCGGCCUUUCCUAAAGGAAACUGCAAACUCCAGAGGCAAACAUGGCCACAGUGCUCCCUCAGCACAGACGUCGAGCCACUGUCUUACCAUUUCCUUGCUUAAAGUAUGUUUGAUAAGCAAAUCCAGCAGGUAAACAAGCUGAAAAGAAUUAUGCUCUUUAUGUUUUUCUUUUUUAUUCAGAAACUCGAUCAAAGCCUAAAAAAACCCACAAACUAUUUCAAAGAAUAGUCUACCUGUACUUUGAACUCCUGGUAAAUGAACAACAUCUGCACUUACGUGACAUUGCAAUAUUACACAGGGAAAAUGCCUUGAACUAUGAAAUUGCCUGUUUUUGCAGUAGCACGUUCCCUGCCUCUAAGAUGCACAAGACACGAGCUCUGAUGUCUCCUGCUUGCUGAAAGGGUAAAGAAGGAAUGAAGCAGACCCGAAGCGGGGAUGGCUGCACUGCUUUGACACAGCUUGUACUGCUUCUCUUCCCACACAUCCAGAAUGAAGGAGGACAACAGCAGUCGGACUGACCACAGCAGCUUACUACGGGAGGAGAGCUGCAAAGUGAGAAGCCGGACCUACCCGUCUGUGGCAGGAGUCUGCAGCUCUCCAGGCAUUCUCAAAUAUUCUUCCUCCUCUGCAAGGGGCAUUUGUUCUCCAUAGCCCUGAGCUGCACCCAUACAAUCCAAGGGUUACUAAGCCACUGGUUCGCAUCACUUGUAUCUACCCUGCCCUGCCAUAAUUCUGCUAAGUGCACAAGCCACGACUGUCCAAAGAACACCAGGAUGAGAAGCUUACUGAGUCGAGGCAGCCGUGGCAACCUGGAAAAACACCACAUCAAAGCCACUUCCUAAAUACCCACAUCUAGCAGACUGAAAUAGGACCAUUUCAGAUUGCCCGCACAGGCGCUUUAUUUUACAGAACAACACUACAACCCUUCAGCAGGAAACUUAUGACCAGCAAUAGCGUUAUUCAGUUAAAUUAAGACAGAGAAAGCUUUCAAGUCUACAGAGUUGUUUUAUUUAUAACUUAGCUGAGAGGCUCAUUUCUUCCGGAAAGUGAGAUGCAGAGAAUCAGGAGACCAGCGUUUAAAAGAAAACAAGCAGAACACACGCAGCUUAUCAUAUACACGUGUGCACGUGCUCUGAAACAGACGAAGAGUCUCUUGAAAAUAUUAAGAGGAGACUAAAUACUGAAUAGAAAAGUAAGCUACUUAGGGUACGAGGAGGUGAGAAAACAUUACGUGCCAUACCUUUCCUAUUUGGGCAGAAAGGCUGGAUUAUAAAGUCGACUGAACAAGAAGCUUGGAUGGCAGCUUUCGUGACAAAAGUAAAAGUGUUCUCACACACGUAAUCGUGCCUCAAGGGACUGCCAAUCAGCUACAGCUGACCUGAGAAUAAUCACUAAACACUGCAGGUUUGUGGACCUUGCCAUCAGCAAACCUAGAGAGCUUGCAUGGCACGCCCUGCAUACUUCUGAGGUAACUGACCCAAACAAAACCCUGCACAAAAACCCGCAGCAAGAACAGCUCCAGCAAUUGGUUAGCAGCAAGCAGUUGUUCAGCCUAAAGGCACAUGCUAGACUGAUCUUGCUUCAGCAAUGCCUUAGCAUCUCCAGAUGUCUCUGUUCAUGCAACAGAGCACACGAGCACAACUGAAAUAAUCUGAGCCAAAGCUACAGCAGCAGCACUGGCUGUAUCCUUCAGAAAGUGAUCGUUUAAAACAGCAUCCCCUGCACCUUCUGCAUGAUACGUUCCGCGCUCCCUGGCAGGACCGUGUUGCAAAUGAGAAGACUUCACCUGCUCCCACAGGUGCCUCAGUUGGUUCAGAGCAGGAUGCUCACUUGCUGCGCUGCACCCACACACGCUUACUGCCAUGAAUGUAGUCUGAGGCCAUCAGGAAUUCAGCAGGUGGGAGGGAGAGAAUCUGAAGGCCACAAAGGCUGGUAAUGCCUGGAGCAAAACCACAACUUCAAAACGAGCAUAGCAAUGAAUCUGCAUGUCGGGUCUGGUCAUCUCCUCAUUGCAGAUCAAGAAGACAGAACAAUUCAAAGGAACCUUCAACAGAAUUGAACCUUUUCACUGCUAACAAGAGACUGGGGGAGGACAGAGAAAGAAAGGAUACAAACAAUGUACAUUAUUCCAGGUCCUACUGGAAACAUCACCAUUUUCAUCAGUUGCGCCGUACCGUCACAGAAAUCAUUUAAAACUUAAGCCCUAAUUUACAACCACUACGGCCACGCCAGACAAGAAUAACACAGAGGAACAUGCAAUAAACUUGAGGAAAAAUGAUUUUCACACAGGAGAACGCAAAGCCCUUUGCAUCUCACACACCCCUUUCCUUCCUUUUUCCCUUCCUUUCUGCUACAAGGAGAACUACAUACUAGAGAAUCCUUCAGCGAUCUUCUGCACACUAUGCAAGGAUCUUUGAUAGAAGCAGUUUUCCAGAAUGUUGAAAAGCUUCAGUUUCGUUUGCAUAUUACCUAGCACCAUGUCCCCUUCUUACUCCAAACACACAUCCGUUCAGGAAUACCAUCUGUUCAGAGUCAGUUUGUUCUAUCCACAGUCCAUUUAUUCUGCUGUACUUUCAAAAGGGAACGUGUAGAACAAAUGAAAGAGGCAGGACACGGAGACAGCAUUUCAGCGGUGUAGGAUGUAUCUGAACAAACUACAGAAGGUAAAAGAUCCCAAAGGUCACAAGCAUGGAUUUGUCAGAAAGGCAGGGCCAGCUGAUACGGCACAAGGGGUCAUGAAUGCAGGAACUGACAGCAGAUAGCCAGUUCCGAGCGCACACUGUUGUUACACCUCCUGUGCACUCCAAGGUCAACACCACCCCUACCAGACUGGCAGAGAAUUCCAAACAUGUAGCUGGGUAGGACACAGGUCACACCCAGUGUUCAGGUGUUGGCUGAAAAGCAGGAAAAAAGGAAAAGAUUUCGCCUUUAAAGUCUCACUAUGUUCUUGCAUCAUGCACAACACACCUCUCCAAAAAUAGAGUCUGCUGCUCAGUUUGCCUCGAAAUCAUUUGCUGGAGUGCCAACCACUCCUUUUAGGUCUUCACUAUUGCAUUUGAAAUGAGCUUAUGCAGAAAGCUCAGAGCAAAAAUCUGAUCCCAAUGAGCUCAACAAUUCCACCCAAACCCUCCUGUCAAGGAUUUACUUCAUUUGCUGUUGCUCCAACACAACAUUUCUAACUCAGUCUUACUAAAUAUUUCAGUUCCUUUUGGCACAGGUGUUGGAUAUGACAACUUGGAAAUGAAGCCCUGGAUCUUGAAGGGUCUUUAAUUCAGAGAACAAGAAAUGUUAGGAAUUCAAAUUCAAGUAGGAUCCUUUCAGCAUCUGGACUGCUAGGUGCUGGUGCUAUUACCUAGCAGUUGCAGGCAUGUGUGGGCUCUAAUAUGCAAAGUAACUGCCUCAUUACCUACUCCAAAAAAAAAAAAAA